GAUACCCAUCUUUUGACAUAACCUUAUAUAUGUUAACGUGAUUCUCCAUUUUAAAUUUUGUGGCAAUCGGAGUUGUAGAACUCCGGUUAUAGCGAUUUCCGUCGGAAAAUCACAAAAAUUAGAAUAGUCAUAACUUGGCCGUUUUAACUCGGAAUUAGUUCAUUUUUAGACACGAGCUACAUAAUACCACAUAUUUUCAUUUUCCGAAAGCCCGGAAUUUUUCUCACAAAAUAAAUUACCGAAACAGCCUCCGGAAAAUAUUUGGCAGUUUACUUUUGCACAUAUGCAGUUUUGGAGUCCUUUACCAAAACUUAAAUAAAAUGAAAUCUAUAACUCCGAUUAUUGAUCCGUCAAUUUUUUUGGAUUUGUAUCUUUCCGAACUACAGUUUUCAUCUAUCACAAUCCAUAUUUGGACAUGUUAAGCUCCCGGAAAUUAGCCCGGAAGUGGCUGUUACAAACUGUUACUCUAACAGUUUUUCUUACCUUUGAGUAGUUUGGGAGAAAUUUCAUAACUCUCUCCUCCGAUGUCGGAUUUAGUCGGUUUCGGAGUCUAUGGAAAGCUUAUUGAGUGUAAUAUAACAUACCAAAAGCUCAGAAUUUUUAGAGCAAGCUAGCUAACCCCGAAAUUUCCUUUUUGUGGCAGCAACGUUUUGUCCAAAAAAAACAGUUUUGGGAUCCUUCACCGUAAAAUCCAUAUCUCUCAAACCGUAUGGCCAAAAAUUCUCAAUUUUUUACACAACCUGCAUAUCUACUGAUAUUAACACCCCAAAAUUUUUUUUCAGAAUUUAUAAAGCACAAAAAGUGGACGAAAAUGCCCCUGCUACGGACUGAUCCAAAACAAUUCCUAGAAACGGGACUGUUUUCACAUAAAUCAACACCACGACUUUUAGAAACGUGAUUUUUGAGUUCUACCACUUGGGUUAACUACUAAACACAUAUAUCUAGC
rnacentral:lncRNA from 1 species